GACGAACGCUGGCGGCGUGCUUAACACAUGCAAGUCGAACGGAAAGGCCCUGCUUUUGUGGGGUGCUCGAGUGGCGAACGGGUGUGUAACACGUGAGUAACCUGCCCUUGACUUUGGGAUAACUUCAGGAAACUGGGGCUAAUACCGGAUAGGAGCUCCUGCUGCAUGGUGGGGGUUGGAAAGUUUCGGCGGUUGGGGAUGGACUCGCGGCUUAUCAGCUUGUUGGUGGGGUAGUGGCUUACCAAGGCUUUGACGGGUAGCCGGCCUGGGAGGGUGACCGGCCACAUUGGGACUGAGAUACGGCCCAGACUCCUACGGGAGGCAGCAGUGGGGAAUAUUGCACAAUGGGCGGAAGCCUGAUGCAGCAACGCCGCGUGCGGGAUGACGGCCUUCGGGUUGUAAACCGCUUUCGCCUGUGACGAAGCGUGAGUGACGGUAAUGGGUAAAGAAGCACCGGCUAACUACGUG
rnacentral:rRNA from 1 species